GACGAACGCUGGCGGCGUGCUUAACACAUGCAAGUCGAACGGAAAGGUCCCUUUUGGGGUCCUCGAGUGGCGCACGGGUGAGUAACACGUCAGUAACCUGGCCUUGACUUCGGGAUAACUUCAGGAAACUGGGGCUAAUCCCGGAUAGGAAUGCUUGCUGCAUGUUGGGGGUUGGAAAGCUUCGGCGGUUUUGGCUGGACUUGCGGCUUAUCAGCUUGGUGGUGGGGUAGUGGCUUACCGAGGCUUUGACGGGUAGCCGGCCUGAGAGGGCGACCGGCAACAUUCAGAUUGGGACACGGCCCAGACUCCUACGCGAGCGAGCAGUGGGGGAGAGUGCACUAGGGGAGGAAGCCUAAUGCAGCAGCGCCGCGGGCGGGAGGACGGCGUUCGGCUUGGAAUCCGAAUUCACCAGGGGCGAAGCUUGUAGUGACGGUACCUGCAGAAGAAGCACCGGCUAACUACGUG
rnacentral:rRNA from 1 species